GAUAGUAUAGUUUUGUAGCCGUAGAAAGUAGGGGACGAAAGUCUUAAUAACCUGCCGAGGUCGAAAACAAUUUUAUUUAUAUAUAUAAAUAAAAUUGCCUACGCAACGGCCCUAAAAGGGCCUUUUUUAUUUUUAAA
rfam:Parcubacteria (Nomurabacteria) bacterium GW2011_GWE1_35_16 TR64_C0012, whole genome shotgun sequence.